UAAAGUAAAAAUGCCUAAGCCAAAGUUGGUGCAGAUCAGUUAAAUAAGAGUAGUCUGGAAAUUGUCAUUUUGAAUACCUUCAUAAGCAAAUUAGAAAAUGAGUGCUGUGAUGUGGUACAGAAACACAUAACUAGUUUGGUAAUCAGCAACCUACCUCACCUUUUUUCAUGUUUUCGUUUAUUAAGUGUUUGUGAUUCUACUUCAGAUUAAUUUCAUUCUGCUCUGUGAGAGUUUAUGUGUUUUUACAAAUCACAUAGCACAUAAGCAUGUGUUUCGGGUCAGCAGUGUGUGCAGAGGGACAUAGAAACGUGACCAGUGUGGGUAGAAAGACCUAAAUAUGAGGUUGCCACACACCGGAGUGGCUCUUUGAAUUCACUUGGUCUCUGUACAGAAAGCAGCGCCAGUUACAUGGCCUGACAGGCUGUGUGUUGUUUAAUAAAACAUGGAAGUGACACAGAAAGCUUUGGCUGCACGUUGGGUUUGAUUUUGUUGGUGCAGCUAAUGGCAUGGACGCUUUGCUCAGCCCCUGCCUAUUUCGCCCCCUUUUGAGAGCUUGAUUUUAGGUAGUAGGCUCUCCUCCCUUUGUGGUAUUUCUAUUUUAAUUUCUCACCCUAACAACCGGUCCAGGGAUGCAAAAGGAGUAUUGCAGGGGUGGUGGACCGCAGGAAGGAUGGAGAUACUAAAGGAAUCUAUUGUUCUUGUGUUGUUUCAUAUCUAUUUCCUCUUCUGAAUCUUAUGAGUCCUUGACUGAAGCCAUCCCAGGUGAGCAGGCACAGAGGAAAAUCUACAGAGGCACUGAAGAGAGAUGGAUGGUGGAGUGCGAGUGGAUUCAUGCCAGUGAGAGGCUCUUGCUUCAAAGAUAAGAUGGUCCGUCUGGCCCAUAGGAGAACAUGCCUUUGGUCUGCUGCAGACUAUGAUGAAAAACUAAAUCACAGAGAGAUGAAGUAACUUUUCCAGUGAAGAAAAGGCAGAACUCAGCUAUGAAUUCAGGUGAGAAGAAAUGUAAAAACUGUCCAAAUUGAUUGCUGAAGGAGAAAGGGACAUUAUGAAACUAUCCAGUAUGCUCCCAUUUUAAUUUUUAAAAGACAGUUUUUCUGUUUUUCUUUUACUAUGUAUCAUGUAUCUUUUAUCAUGUAUCACUUCUGCAUUUUUGUAAUUGGGAAAAAAUUACUUUUACAUUUGAGAUAAAACGUGGGUUGUAUUUGACAUAAGUGCGUUGCCUAAAUAGGUCUACAUUACCAUGUCUAUUUCAUAUCUACUUAAUUACGUUAAAAUGACAUUCCUCUCCUUGAGCUGCUGUCUAACUUCAGAAAAGAGCACGCCAAUUGUAAAAAAAAAAUACACACCUCUGGAUGAAAGUAUAAAUCCCUAGUUUGUUGUAAGACUUAUUUCCACUAUAAUUUAGAAUCGGUGCAUAAAGAAAAAACUCGGGAAUGACUCUCACGUGUCUAACCAAGGGCAGUGCACCCCGCGGGCUGCGGCUGAGAGCCUGCAUGGCGAGAGCUGGGGGAAGAUACGCAAUGGAAAAGUGCACACCAGGGCACUCACAACUCAAUCCCAAUAUCGGUUUCUUUAAUAAACGGCGCCAUAUAGUUGUA